AACGAACGCUGGCGGCAGGCUUAACACAUGCAAGUCGAGCGCCCCGCAAGGGGAGCGGCAGACGGGUGAGUAAAGCGUGGGAAUCUACCCAUCUCUACGGAAUAACGCAUGGAAACGUGUGCUAAUACCGUAUACGUCCUUCGGGAGAAAGAUUUAUCGGAGAUGGAUGAGCCCGCGUUGGAUUAGCUAGUUGGUUGGGUAAAGGCCUACCAAGGCGACGAUCCAUAGCUGGUCUGAGAGAAUGAUCAGCCACACUGGGACUGAGACACGGCCCAGACUCCUACGGGAGGCAGCAGUGGGGAAUAUUGGACAAUGGGCGCAAGCCUGAUCCAGCCAUGCCGCGUGAGUGAUGAAGGCCCUAGGGUUGUAAAGCUCUUUCACCGGUGAAGAUAAUGACGGUAACCGGAGAAGAAGCCCCGGCUAACUUCGUGCCAGCCGCCGCCGUAACAC
rnacentral:rRNA from 1 species